AUGACCUAUGUUGUGUUGAAGGGAUAUCUAUAUGAUCCGAUUGAUUGCAUAAGACCCAUGGUAGCAAUAGAAUAGGGAAAGUACACAGAAAAGACAAUUCUUUUCAAUUUCCAUUACCUAUAUAUUAGUUCGUUUCUACUUCUAGAUAUCUAUUUCUAUACUCCCUCCAUUCCUUUAUGUAAGGUGUAUUAUUUUCAACACGGUGACCAAAGCACGUAA
rnacentral:rRNA from 1 species